UACGUAGGGACCAAGCGUUGUCCGGAUUUAUUGGGCGUAAAGAGCUCGUAGGCGGCCCUCCACGUCGGAUGUGAAAGCUCAGGGCUCAACCCUGAGAUGCCAUUCGAUACGGGAAGGCUAGAGGUAGGUAGGGGAAAGUGGAAUUCCUGGUGUAGCGGUGAAAUGCGCAGAUAUCAGGAGGAACACCGGUGGGGAAGGCGGCUUUCUGGGCCUUACCUGACACUGAGGAGCGAAAGCUGGGGGAGCGAACAAG
rnacentral:rRNA from 1 species